rnacentral:lncRNA from 1 species
UCUAAGAUUCCUCACUAACUUGUGAGGAUCUUUACCGUGCGGUGGUUAUUUAUCCGUGGUCUUUGCUUGGCCGGGAGCCUUAUGCAUUCGCGAGAACCGCCUCUGCGCAUGGAUACGUGGAUAUGUGGUAACGACUUGCCCGAUCAUGAACACCGUGUGUUAUGCUAUUUGUGGAUGUAUGCCGUACGUGUAUGUCUGGGUGUCUACCAACCUGGGAAAGUCUGGGAAUUGGGGCCUUGCUGGAAAACUGUAGGAACUUUGGUAAAACCUGGCUAAUUCAUGGAAACUGGCGGCAGUCUGUGCCACCAUCACAAAAAUAAGCAUUACCCUUGAUCAAUACUCAAAAA